AUUGAACGCUGGCGGAAUGCUUUACACCUGCAAGUCGAACGGUAGAGGGGCAACCCCUGAGAGUGGCGAACGGGUGAGUAAUGUAUCGGAACAUGCCCCGUCGUGGGGGAUAACGUAGCGAAAGUUACGCUAAUACCGCAUACGAUUUACGGAUGAAAGCGGGGGAUUGCAAGACCUCGCGCGAUUGGAGUGGCCGAUAUCAGAUUAGGUAGUUGGUGGGGUAAAGGCCUACCAAGCCGACGAUUUGUAGGUGGUUUGAGAGGACGACCCGCCCCCCUGGGAAUGAGACCCGGCCCCGACUCCUUCGGGAGGCAGCAGUGGGGAAUUUUGGACAAUGGGGGAAAGCCUGAUCCCGCCCUUCCGCGUGCCGGAAGAAGGCCUUCGGGUUGUAAAAUGCUUUUGUUCGGAACGAAACGCGGUGAGGUAAUACCUUGGGGUAAUGACGGUACCGUAAGAAUAAGCACCGGCUAACUACGUGCCCGCCGCCGCAAUAAUA
rnacentral:rRNA from 1 species